rnacentral:rRNA from 1 species
GGCGGCAUGCCUUACACAUGCAAGUCGAACGGCAGCACGGGGGUAACCCUGGUGGCGAGUGGCGAACGGGUGAGUAAUACAUCGGAACGUGUCCUGUAGUGGGGGAUAGCCCGGCGAAAGCCGGAUUAAUACCGCAUACGAUCUACGGAAGAAAGCGGGGGAUCUUAGGACCUCGUGCUAUAGGGGCGGCCGAUGGCAGAUUAGCUAGUUGGUGGGGUAAAGGCCUACCAAGGCGACGAUCUGUAGCUGGUCUGAGAGGACGACCAGCCACACUGGGACUGAGACACGGCCCAGACUCCUACGGGAGGCAGCAGUGGGGAAUUUUGGACAAUGGGGGAAACCCUGAUCCAGCAAUGCCGCGUGUGUGAAGAAGGCCUUCGGGUUGUAAAGCACUUUUGUCCGGAAAGAAAACUUCUGCCCUAAUACGGUGGGAGGAUGACGGUACCGGAAGAAUAAGCACCGGCUAACUACGUGCCAGCAGCCGCGGUAAUACGUAGGGUGCGAGCGUUAAUCGGAAUUACUGGGCGUAAAGCGUGCGCA